rnacentral:rRNA from 1 species
AUACGGAGGGUGCAAGCGUUACUCGGAAUCACUGGGCGUAAAGCGCGCGCAGGCGGCUAUUUAAGUUGGAUGUGAAAGCCUACGGCUCAACCGUAGAACUGCAUCCAAAACUACUUAGCUAGAGUGUGAGAGAGGAAGAUGGAAUUAGUUGUGUAGGGGUAAAAUCCGUAGAGAUAACUAGGAAUACCAAAAGCGAAGGCAAUCUUCUGGAACACUACUGACGCUGAGGCGCGAAAGCGUGGGGAGCAAACAGAAUUAGAUACCCUAGUAGUCC